rnacentral:lncRNA from 1 species
UCAUUAUGUUUUCGAAACUCGUUCGAUCCAUUAUUUUAUUGUUUUGGAAACGAGUCCGAUCCGAUUAUUUUAUUAUUUUGGAACCGCAUUCGACCCAAUUAUUAUUUUAUUAUGUUUUCGAAACUCGUUCGAUCCCAUCAUUAUUUUAUUGUUUUCAAAACUCGUUCGACCCGCGUUCGACCCAAUUAUUUUAUUAUGUUUUGUAAACUCAUUCGAUCCAGUCGUUACGAUUUUAUCGUUUUGGAAAAGCAUUCGAUCCAAUUAUUUUAUUAUUGUUUUGGAAAAGCGUUCGAUCCAAUUAUUAUUAUUGUUUCGGGAAAGCGUUCGAUCCAAUUAUUAUGAUUUUAUUAUUACAUUUUUUGGAAAACGUUCGAUCCCAUUAUUACGAUUUUACGUGUCGUCGAAAAGGCUCCCGUUGCGGUUGCUGCGAGUUUGGUGGUCUGCCCGGCUAGGUCCCAGCAGCACUCUCUCCUGACGUUUCACCCACAUCUACUGCAGGCAUCCUUGGAAGUUGUGAGGUCUUGUUGGAAGACUAGGCGAGCUGGGUUGAUAUAUAUAUAUAUAUAUAUCCGUGGUGGUGUCCAGGUUGCGAAUGGUGUUAGCUGGCCCUGAUUGUUCCCUAGGGUUUUGUAUAGCUAUGGAAGGUCCAGGAAGUCUUUUGUCUGUGUGAUGCAAGUGACAAUGUUGCAAAUGGCCAGCUUAAUCGACAUCGAAUGGCCUCGCAGCUACAAAGCCUGGCGGCUUCCUACCCGGGUUGAAUCCUUUGUUGGGAGGUGUUAGCUGGCCCUGGUUGUUCCCUAGGGUUUUGUAUAUCUGCGGAAGGCCCAGGAAGUCUUUGUCUGUGUGAUGCAACCUCAAAUAGCCUUACAGCGUCAAAGCCUGGUUGCUCCCUUCCUGGGGGACUCCUUUGUUGGGAAGUGUUAGCUGGCCCUGAUUGUUCCCUAGGGUUUAUAUAUAUCAGAGGAAGGUCCCAGAUGAGAAAAAUAAGUCUUUGUCUGCCUGCGAAUGUUGCGAACAACCAGUUUGAUUAACACUGAAUAGCGUGGCUGCUUCCCGCCUGAGGGAAAUCCUUUGUUGGGAUGUGUUAGCUGGCCCUGAUUGUUCCCUAGGGUUUAUAUAUAUCAAUGGAAGGUCCCAGAUGAGAGAAAUAAGUCUUUGUCUGCCUGUGAAUGUUGCAAAUGGCCGGCUUGGUUAACACUUAAUAGCCUCGCUGUUUCCCGCCUGGGGACAAUCCUUUGUUGGGAGGUGUUAGCUGGUCCCGAUUGUUCCCUAGGGCUUAUAUCUGUGGAAGGUGGUCCGGGGAGGCCG